GCCAUGUUGUGAGAGGGCCAGCUGGUAAGAAACUGCAGGUAGCUCAGGGUUGCCCCAAAGGACAAUCAGCAAGAAAACCAGAACUCAGUCCUACAACCACAAGGAGGUAAAAUCUGCCACCAACCACUUGAGCUGCCAACAACUACAUAGCUCAACAAAACUGAGCUCAACAAAAGAAACCAGCCCUAGCUGAUACCUUGGUAACAGCUUUGUGAGACCCUGAGCAGGGUACCCAGCGAAGCUGUAUCUGGACUCCUGACCCACAGAAACUAUUGACAACUCUGAUUAUACAUCGUCUUCACUAAACGGACCUUUGCUGAGUUUUGUAUUGUGUUCAUCCCCACCCCACACUCUGCUGUUGCCAUGGGAGCCGAAAUCCUGGCAUGGUUAGCUCCGCCCCCAAGUGGCUCUGUCUCCCAGAGUGCUUUGCUGUUACUAUGGAAAUGCCUGCCUAUUAAUCUUGCUGUCCUUUUACUACCAAAGCACCUUUAACUGUCUCAAGCAAUCAAGUGAUGUUACCUACAGCAGGGAAAGGAAGGAGAAGACGGCCUCCCAUUCUCCAGCUGAAGCGCUGAUUUUAAUCAAGAUUUAAUCAAGGAGCAGAAGAAUGGACUCCCCCAAACUGCUCACCGUGCAGACUUGAUCUAAGCAUGGACACUGUUCUCUCCGAUUGCCUUAAAGAUGCAGCUAAGACCAGUCAGUGGUGUUGGCCAAAGAUAUAGUGGAAGUUUGGCAUGUAUAGAAGUGGGUACUGAGAAUGAUCUACUCUUCCACUGUGGUUGUCACUCCAAGAGCUCACAAACCCUAAAGCCAACUCCAGAGUCCCUGCCUUACUCUCAGGGCCUAAGUCACUCCCAGUGUUCCUCCGCACCAGUCUACUCUCCCUUGGAAAUGCACAACGUGUCUCAAAUGUUUUCCUACCAGUGAAGGAAUGUAUUUUCUGAAGAAGACCCAAAAGGAAAAUGUUCAUGGGUAUAGCUCAUCUAGAGAAACAUUGACCAGUUUCAGCAGAAAAGAUAGCACAGAAAGAAGAUGGCAUCUGACUUCAACAUUUAGCUGACGUUUGACAACGGAUGAAGACACCACUGAUUAGCACGGCAUCAAUUUACAUCUGUUCCCAUGAUCAUGAUGAGGGCAUUGUCCUCCUCUUAGACGGAGUCCAGUGUGUGAAGGGAAUGUGUCCUUCCCCCACCUCGACCUGCCUCAACGCUUUCAAUGCUGCUAUUUGUAUCCAUUUUAUAAUAGAACAUUCUGGUUUCAUUAAUGGACAAACCCAGAGCCAGACCAUGGCUUGCACUAGAUUGAGCUAGACUGGAGCAAAAUCUGAAGAGCAAUCUUAGGGGACUAGAUGUCAAGCGCCUCUGGUCCCCGGGUUCAGCUCCCCACUGAAUGUGACGGAGGAAAGUCGACUUCUUUGUGUCUGUCUCAGUUUUCCCAGCUGUUAAAUAGGCACAAUAUCUGCUCCCUCCACAUCAUAGGAGUGUCUUGAGAAUCAAAUCAUAUUCCAGUAUUUUGUUAACUGUUAUUGCUAUGUCCAUGAGAGACAAUGGGAGGUCUUUUAGUAAACCCAAAACGCAUCCAGAGAAUCAUAUAACUUAUAAGGAUCUAUAUUUUGGGGUUUGUCAUUUUAUCAUCCAACAAAUAUUUCCUGAGGUCCUAUUCAAUGCAAGGCACAAUCCUCAGGGCUGUGGGAAAAAAUAUGAUGCCUGCCCUGGAGGGGUUAUAAACAAAGUGAGCGAGAAGGCACGCCCAUAUAAAAAGAUGACUGGAGACAGAGCCCAUAUCUAAAUACCAAAUGGGAGAUGGUAUUAUAACCCAGGGAUUGGGGGUGCAGGCAUGGGCAUCACAUUUUCUGGGUCUGAAGCCCGGCUCUGUCACUGACUAACCAUGUGUCCUUGGGCAAGUUACUUAACCUCUCUAUGCCUCAGUUUCCUCAUCUGUGAAAUGGGGAUAAGAAUAGCACCUACCUUAUAAGCUUAUUGUGAGGAAUAAAUGUAUUACUAUAUCAAUAAUUCUCAGAACAGUGCCUGGCACAUACAUAGGACACACUUAAUGAAUGUUUGCUGAACAUAAAGAUACCUUGUGGUACAACAACCAAGAGGGAGAGAGAGCACUAAAGAUUACGGUCAAGUGGCUCUGGUGUCCUGAUCUGGGGGUGGAAGGUUGGGAAGGGCCAGCGGAGGUGGAGUGAAGGGAUGAGGGAUUAGACAGGAGAGGAUUCCAGACAGGUCAAACGGCCUGCACAAAGGCUCACAGCCAGGUUCGCAUGAGGCACAUUUGGGGUAGAAUGAAGAGAAGGGUCAGAGUUUCCUAGUGGAAACAGUGGGGGCAGGGCGGGGGUGGGGGCGCUGUAAGUAGGGAUCUAGGUGGGAUAGCUCAUCUCCGCCUGCAUCUCCGGGGCCAAAAGCUGGAGUGAGUAAAGGGGCCGUAUUUCAAAGCUGCCAGCAAAGUCUCUUUCUCUACAGACAAUGGCUUGAAUGUACCUUUGAAAGUGUAUUGCUUUUGAGUUUUGGAGGGAGAAACAGAGCACUUUAAUGAGCUUUUGGUCCUACAAAGAUAAAUCUAAAUACACCAUUUCUGAAAGUGUUCCUUCACAAUGACAUGCUAAACUGCUUUGCACGAUAACCUUAAGGCCAUCCCAUCAGGCUUGCACGAAAUUCCCAGGAUUCUACCCACAGACACCUAGAGAGGAACGGGGAGAGAAAAGGACACAGGGAGAGAGAGAAAAACUAGCUAGAAAGCGUGGACACUUCUGCCUCAGGAGCAGGUAGGAACUGCGAUUCGCCUUUUCUCUCCACGGUUUUCAGCCCCUGUGCCUUAAGCAGUAUGAGCAUCUCACCACGGAAAAUGGGAUUCUGAAGUUAAAAUAAACCUUAAACCCAGACCAGCUACUUCCUCUGGUGUUCUGCUGAGGAAAUCGUGGCCUCUACUAGGCUUACAGAGAAAAGUGCGUCCACCUACAAUGCGGCUCUCCUCUAGUGGUCUCCAAAGUUAAUUUCUUACACAAAUUCUGCCUUACACAGUAACUUUAGAACUUAAUCCCCAGGAAAGAUUCGGCUCUACUGUACAGAAGAUUGUUUUUAUUGUGGGUAGAAUUUAUCACAACAGAUUACGUUUCUGUGGGAGGGGCUAGUGGAGACCAGGUAUGAGGAGGAAUGUGGAUCCUCUUCAGCCAUGUCUUUUGGGGGCUCAUAUGUGUGGCCUGAACUUCAGAGAGGGGAGACAGCAGAGGUCUGUCUUUGUGAAGGGAGAUAAUCAGGCCCUUGAAAAAAGAUGGCAGGCCAAGAACUGAGGAGAGACCCAGUGUGUUAUCCUGUGGGAGGCCUUGGUCUCUGGACUGCAGAAGAAUUCAUAUCUAGCAUUCAAAGCUAAGGGGUGGGGGAGUCUGUAUUAUAAUUUCUUCUUCUAACCCUUACUUUUCAAUGGAGUAUUUGUUUUUAAUCAUGAGGCAUGAUCUAGGCUAUGCUCUGGGCCAAGUGGUAAAGAGUAUCAGAAACAGAGAUGGAGCAGGAGCUUCCGGAAGCCAAAGUCAAGAAGAUUGGAGCAUCCGUGAGGAACAGAACAGCUGACUGGGUCUCUGGUGCGGUAGCCCAUGGUUAGAAAUCUCACCGCCGAAAAUAUUCUGCCUCAGUUAACACUUGUCCUCUGCGAGCAAACAUUAAAUGGAAGUCACUGUACAUUAUCCCUGAGCAAAGCAAUGAGGAAAGUCCCCUCAGAGGCGGCAGGACUGGGCUCUGAGUAAGGGUGUUCCCUUUCCAACGGGCUGCCUUUCAGGACCACCCAGAGCCUGCCUUGUCAUCCCACAGCACCCCAGAAGGUCCCCUCUCACUGCAUUGGCCACUCGUUACUGUAACCGCCAUUUUAUUCCUGGAAAGGAAGAACCAAAGUGAGGGACGCUGUGAACAACAGACAGGCCUUGGUUGCUGAUGGGGUGACUGCAGAGAAACCGUCUUCUGCUCUUUGCUUCGCUGUUUUGCCUCCUUAUCUAGCCCCUCUCACUCCAUCUCAGUGAAAUCCGUCGUGAUCUCCUAGCUCAGAUUUCACAAGUCAACAAAAAAUUAGAACUACUUUAACGACAUUGGUUCUACCGUGCCAGGCCAUGGGCUAGAAGUUACAAGAGUAUGCAGUCUCUACUUGCUUUUUAUUGCAGAACAGCACAUUCCUGGAGCCCAUGUCAUAAAGCGGAUCACUGAAAAGCAAAUUACAUUUUCCCACAGGAACAAUGUUGUAAUUAGAGGCUGUAUUCCUGACAAAGGACUUGGCUUCAUGUAAAUAGUAGACAUGAACAAAAAUAUUUCACAAAAGCAAACAUUUGAGAACUAUAAAUCCUUAUAAUUGUUUAAAAUAAUAAAAUUUUCUUCAAGUAUUAUAAACCAGGCGGGAUUAGAGCGAGUACACACUGAUUAUUCGGGGACUCCAAUGUACCAUAAAGUGUACAUUAAAAUAUAACUACUGUGUCAUAAAUUAGAACCUGAAACUAACUUUAAUAUAGUCAUUACAUACUUAAUUAACAAUGGGAAGGCAGAGAAGUACCAUGAUCACGUGCAGCAUUGGGCGUUAGGAGAGCUAAACUACAGGCUCGCCCUCUAGACUGUGAGCUCUAUGAGGCUAGAGGCUGGGCCUGCCCGGAGUAGGUCAAAAUCAUAUUUACAAUGAACAGCCCAGCCCUGGGUUGUCACUUUGAGUAAGCAAAUCACUUUCUCUAGUUUCUGUCUCUUCAUAUGUAAAACAAGGAAGCUCAACUGUAAAGUCUCUAAGGUCCCCAGCAGCUCCAACAUUCUGGGACUGCCACUUUGGUCUCUUAGAAUUCAAAAGAGUUUCUGGGUGUAGUCAGCUGUGACUUCAGUGAACCUCAGUAUGACCCUCCAGUAUUUAUACACUCCUGUAGUCGCCAACCACAUUCUGGGCUUGGCCAUGUGAAUGGCUCUGGCUAGUGGGACUUUAGCAAGCCAGAUACAACAGAGGCUUAGUAAGCACUUGCAAACUGGGGCUUGUUCCCUUGGAAUAUUCCCUCUUGGAAUCCAGGUACCAUGCUGUGAGGAGCCCAAGACCCACGGAGAGGCCACGUGGAGGGAAACCAGGGCAUUCUGGUGGACUGUCCCACUGAGCUCCCAACCAACUGCCAGCACCCACUGCUAGUCAUGAGUAAGCAUCUUGGACAUUACAGCCCAGUUGAGCCCCCAGAUGACAGCAGCCCCAGCUGAUACCACGUGGAGCAAAAGAACCUCCCAACUGAGCCCAGGCAACCCAUAAAGUUGUGAAAGAUAAUACAACAAUUGCUGUUUUGAGGCACCAAGUUUUGGGGUGGUUCAUGGUGCAGCCAUAGCUAAUUGAAACUCUAGCACAUGGCUUAAAUGGCUCUGGACAUUGGUAAAAACAAACCAUCCAAAGAAGAUUGAAUAAUGUCUAUGUUUCUCCAUAUGAAUUUUCCUCUCCUGAGAAACAUUUAAAAUAUUCCAAUUAUCUUAAAAUAGACUCAAAAUACUGUAGUAGUGUUCAAUAAAUAUUUGUAGUAGAUAAAGAUGUUUCCUCUUCCUGAAAAAUAUUCUUCCUCUUUACCUUCUCUUGAGAAGGUAGAGUUGUUCAAAUGCAUAAUCAAAUAAAGGUCACAAGGAAAUGAUAUGUGCUGCUCAGUCAUUCUACUUGACACUUUGUUGAUAGCUCUUAGAACAUUCCCUCACUACCGAUAAUCCAUAAAAACAAUUAUCAAGCAAAGCAAUGACUUUAAAAUAAGACUGUAGCAAGGUCUCUGGUAAGGCAGAACUUUACUUUUUCUUGAUAAAGAAACUGUUGACAUUCAGGCUGGCAGAAGUAGGCAAAUUUGGAUGAGACAUAGGUUUUCUUAAAGUAAAAGGAUGAGACACUCCAACCAUUCUCUGGGAAAUUCAAAAUUAUUGAAACCUCUCAGGGGUGCCCCGAUCAAGGGUCAAUGACAAAGUCAAGGAGACUACCACAAUAAAAUCAGCAUGGUGACCAGAAAGAGACUGAGUCUGGGGACCUUCCCCGUAUGAAGUCAGGUGGUCAAAGAGGUAGUGGUUCUAAACCUAUCUUGUACUCUGGGGAAUUGGCUGUGUGGGUGAAAAGAAAGCCUGUCAAGUUGGGCCACCUGCUCAACUUUGAUGUGAGGUUCCUCUGGCCAGUCAUUGAUGAGGAGUGGAGGAUGGUCUUUCCUCACACUUUGAAGAACCAGCCUGGGAGAGGGCCUGCACUGGUGCUUGGGCCAUCAGCCACUUAGCUCAGAUGCUGUCAUAAUGUCAUCCCAGGAACGAUGGGUCAGGAGGCCUUCUGACUUCCCAGGUUUUGCUGUGUCACCAGGUCUGCAAUUUGGUGAUGCCUUAACCCAAGCAGAGACAAGUUUCUGGUGGCAGUGACAACAUGCUCUCACUCUUACAGGGUAUGCCUGCCUGAACUCCAGCUCUAGCAGCAAGAUAGACCCUCAGGACACCAAGCCUCCUAAAGAUCAUCCCAGAAGGAUGGAACCAGGGAAGCCAGACAUUUAGCCUCAAGCCAUUUAAUUGGAAUCGUAAAAAGAGACACAGUUUUAUAUCACACCUCUAAGCUGGUAAAGUAGGUUGUGUCCAUUUGGGGCACUACGAACCUUCUCUCAGAUUAUUUAAGAUGGGUAUGAGAAGCACGUAAUCUUUAGGGAAUGCCAGGCACUGUUUCAGAUUCUUACACAUGUCAUUCAUUGAAGUCUCCCAUGUAAUUAUGAGGUAGGUAUUUCCGAGAGGGAACUGAGGCACAAGGAAGUAACAUAACUUUCUCCAGCUUUGACAACCAUUAAGUGGUGAGGCCAGAAUUCGGCCCCAGCCAUGCUCUGAACUUCUCAAUCACUUGCUCUCUUCCUGACACCCCAAAGCUGGCAGCCUUGCUCCCCUGAGCGUUCGAGGGCAUUUCAUGAAGGAAGCCCUCAACAGAGCUGGAGGUGAGAGAGAACAGCACGCUGUCUGCUCCGCAGCACUUCUCUCCGGGACCAGCUUUCUCUGUAUCUUCCACUGUAAUUUAGUUAAUAUACUUAAUAAUCUCACCAAAUGAGGCUAAAUCUGUUUUUGGCACCUAACCAAACCUAAGACUGUAAACCACCUGUCAACACCCUCACUGGAGCUUGUCUGGAUGCCCACAGGAGAGGAAAUCCGGGCUUAGGAGUGUGGCCCUGCUGCGCAGACAGAGCUCAGAACGCCAACUCUCCCGUUCCUCCUGGCCUGGCUCGUUCUGCCUAGAACUCUGAAAUACAGCUCCCUACCCGCUUUGGGCUCUGCGUGUAUAUUGCUAUUAUCAGUUACCAGCAGUAUUUGAUGUCGCUACAGCACCUCAUAUUUGCAAGUCCCCUCCUUCGGGUGUUUGUGCACGGCUGGUCUUCACAGCCACAGCUCUGCACUGACACCACCCGCCCAGAAUUAUUCUUAGGGGGUAAAUGAUUUGCUUACGGCAAUUGCAGAGGGAUGUGCUGGAGAAUGCAAGAUGAGAGACAGGAGACGAAGGACGCCACGGCCUAGCUGUUUAGGGGAGUCCAGUGAAAAGAGCAGAGAACUGGCAGCUUGAUUUUACUUGUUUCCAUUUAUGAUCAUAAAAGUAUUAUUAUUAAUGAGGCUGUUUUACAUUUUACAGCUCCUUUUCAGCUGGAGAGAUUCCCAAAAGGUUUUGCGAACUCUGCUUGCGGCUUCACUGUGAUCGUGUGGCCAUUGCUUGUUCUUGCCUCUCGAGGAGCCUCUUACUCACACAGAGGCAGGGACAGUAGCAAUAAUCAGUAGAUAAAGCCACAAGUUAGACACUAAAGUUUUGCCCCCAACCCUGCCUAGUGUUAAAAAGGGGCUCCUCUUUGCCCCCACGAUCCAUUCCAUUUUCCAGGCAGGAAAAGGUGGUGGCAGCUCAGCAUCCAUUGGUGAGGGCUGAGUUCCCGCCCACUUGUACCACCGGGGACAAUUAGAGCAAAAUGAGACCGCAAACAUCAAUAGGGGAAAGGCUGCAACAAACUUCAGCUAGAAAUCUGAAGAUGUGCUCCUCUUUGUAACAGUGAAAUAUAGAUUUUAAUGCCCUAAAGACACUAAAACUGUAAUGCCAACUCUAAGCGUGUGAAACACAAAAGAAACACGGGGUAAGGUCCUAAAGUAUUCGAUUUAGAGGAAAUGAGCAGAAAGUUGAAAUAGAAAAGCACAGACAUGUGUGGUGUGAAAGCAGAAAAGUCUCGAGGCUAAUAGCCGCAUUAACAACUCUGAGCCAGCGUCAAAUUCUGAAGUCCCCGGGCCCCACGCCCCAGAAGCCCAAGUAGCUUGCUGAGUGUGCUGUCUUCGGGGCCUGCUUCCCAUUUGUUAUUAAGCCCAGCUCUCUGUGGACCCAGAAUCCAUUUCUUAAGAAUCAUGAUCAUCUGCUUGAAUUAGAAGGAGAUUGUUACUUACCUUGAAAUUCUAAAUGCUGUAUUUGGUACUAGCUUUUGUCAGCUGCCAGAGGAAAAGUUCAAUUAAAACGAGUUUCUUUAUCCUUUCCUCCCUCUUAAAAAAAAACCAGGGGGUUAGAUUCUAUAGUUUACUUGUACAGUACUUUAUUCUUAAUUAUUUUAAUUAUUUAACAAAUACAUGUAUAGCACUUCCCAUGUGCCAGACACUGUUCUGAGUGCUUAACAAUAUCACUCAUUCAAUUGUCAUAACAACCCUAAGAGAUAGGCAUUAAUAUUUUACAGAAGAAGAAAUUUACAGAUGAGGAAACUGAGGCACAGAGAGGUUAAGUAACUUGCCUGAGGUCACACUGCUAACGAGCAGCAAAGCCAAGAUUCAAACUCAGGGAGUCUGGCUCAAGUCCCUAUUUUUACUACUAUGUUACGCUGCUUCCCUUACAUAAAUUAUGCUCACAAAUGUGGAGAGGCAGUUUUUAGCGGAACAUAAGGAAAAUAUUAUGAAAGCAAAAGACAAUGACAACUUACAAUUCAGGAAAAUGCGUGUGCCUGGACAUAUUUUUACAGGUUGCUUCCAUUAAAAUCUUAUUUUUAAAAUCAUUAUCUAAUUAACCUUAAAUUCUAAGACAUUUUUCUCUUCCAGGAAGGAGCCACACAUCCAUUGGUGGGGCUUCAUUUUUGUCUUCAUCUGCUUUAUAACUUCAAAGACGGGAGGGUGGGUGGAGGUGGGAAGGGUUUGGCCUACACAGGAGGACGGAGCACAGUGAUCAGCACUUGGGUUCAAAUCCCGGCUUUGCCGCUAUUUGUAUGACUUUGAGUAAAGUCCUUAAUCUUUCUGUGCCUCAGUUGCCUGAUCUAUAAAACGGGAAUGAUAAUAUUACCUACUCAGAGGUGGUUGUAAGAUUAAUUGAGCUAAUACACAUAAGGUGCUCGCCGCGCGUGGCCCACAGCGAGCGCUGCGUGAAAGUAGGGAAAUUGGGCGGCGGGACAGAAUGAGAAUGAGACCGCAGACCGCAGACUGAUAGGGCCAGUCUCUGCUUCCUGUUAGUUCUCUGGGGGGACUCGUGUCUGUCACCCCCAUCAAGGAGGGCAGCGGGCAGGCCUGCCCAACUUUGAGAGGUGACCCUGCAGUUUAAUUUCGGAAGCCGCCACCCCUCGCCUCGGGGACCCGACUCAGGCAGGCCAGCCCCAGCCCCAGCCCCAGCCCCAGCUCCAGCCCCAGCCGUGCCCUGGGCAUCGUGCACACUCAGUGCACACACGCUCCCCACGGGCCACCAGAGACAGGGCCGCGGCUUCAGCGGCCGGGCGUCCUGAGGGCACCCUGGCUCGGCGUGACAAGCGGCAGGGACAGACGGCCAGCGGGACCGGGUACCAGGAGGGGGCCACCCACGCUCUGCGCAUCCCUGCGGCCCGCGGCGCACCCUGCCCUUCGCGGAGCGGGGAGUCCCGCGAAGGCCUGGGCGCUGCUGCGACUCCUUCUGGUGGUCUUCUCUCCCCCGUUGCUUUGAAUUACCUGGGUCACGUCCGCUGGCUGAAGACAGUCGUGGAGUGAGACAGGGGACGCCCGUCCUCACCCCGCUGCUCUAUCACACGGCCCAGAAAACCCGUCGGCAAAAGGGAGAGUGUUUUAUUUUUCAGACUGUUGUAAACCUUUUUACACACAGACACGCACUCACACACACAGUGAUCUCCUUUUACAAAAAGACAAAACGGAGGGGACAGAUGGGGCGGACCAUAUUGUUUACAGUUUUCUUCACCUUAUUUUUUUCACUUAAAAUAUAUCUGGGGGCAGGC
ensembl:lncRNA